rnacentral:rRNA from 1 species
GACGAACGCUGGCGGCGUGCCUAAUACAUGCAAGUAGAACGCACAGUUUAUACCGUAGCUUGCUCCACCAUAGACUGUGAGUUGCGAACGGGUGAGUAACGCGUAGGUAACCUGCCUGGUAGCGGGUGAUAACUAUUGGAAACGAUAGCUAAUACCGCAUAAUAUUGAUUAUUGCAUGAUAAUUGAUUGAAAGAUGCUAUUGCAUCACUACCAGAUGGACCUGCGUUGUAUUAGCUAGUAGGUGAGGUAACGGCUCACCUAGGCGACGAUACAUAGCCGACCUGAGAGGGUGAUCGGCCAAACUGGGACUGAGACACGGCCCAGACGCAUACGGGAGGCAGCAGUAGGGAAUCUUCGGAAAUGGACGAAAGUCUGACCGAGAAACGCCGCGUGAGUGAAGAAGGGUUUCGGAUCGUAAAGCUCUGUUGUAAGAGAAGAACGGGUGUGAGAGUGGAAAGUUCACACUGUGACGGUAUCUUACCAGAAAGGGACGGCUAACUACGUG